GGUUAAGCGACUAAGCGUACACGGUGGAUGCCCUGGCAGUCAGAGGCGAUGAAGGACGUGCUAAUCUGCGAAAAGCGACGGCGAGGUGAUAUGAACCUUUGACCCGUCGAUGUCCGAAUGGGGAAACCCAGUGCAAUUCGUUGCACUAUCGUUAACUGAAUACAUAGGUUAACGAGGCGAACCGGGGGAACUGAAACAUCUAAGUACCCCGAGGAAAAGAAAUCAACCGAGAUUCCCCCAGUAGCGGCGAGCGAACGGGGAGCAGCCCGGAGUCUGAAUCAGCUUGUGUGUUAGUGGAAGCGUCUGGAAAGUCGCACGGUACAGGGUGACAGUCCCGUACACGAAAAUGCACAGGUUGUGAACUCGAAGAGUAGGGCGGGACACGUGGUAUCCUGUCUGAAUAUGGGGGGACCAUCCUCCAAGGCUAAAUACUCCUGACUGACCGAUAGUGAACCAGUACCGUGAGGGAAAGGCGAAAAGAACCCCGGCGAGGGGAGUGAAAAAGAACCUGAAACCGUGUACGUACAAGCAGUGGGAGCACCUUCGUGGUGUGACUGCGUACCUUUUGUAUAAUGGGUCAGCGACUUAUAUUCUGUAGCAAGGUUAACCGUAUAGGGGAGCCGCAGGGAAACCGAGUCUUAACUGGGCGUUAAGUUGCAGGGUAUAGACCCGAAACCCGGUGAUCUAGCCAUGGGCAGGUUGAAGGUUGGGUAACACUAACUGGAGGACCGAACCGACUAAUGUUGAAAAAUUAGCGGAUGACCUGUGGCUGGGGGUGAAAGGCCAAUCAAACCGGGAGAUAGCUGGUUCUCCCCGAAAGCUAUUUAGGUAGCGCCUCGUGAACUCAUCUUCGGGGGUAGAGCACUGUUUCGGCUAGGGGGCCAUCCCGGCUUACCAACCCGAUGCAAACUACGAAUACCGAAGAAUGUUAUCACGGGAGACACACGGCGGGUGCUAACGUCCGUCGUGAAGAGGGAAACAACCCAGACCGCCAGCUAAGGUCCCAAAGUCAUGGUUAAGUGGGAAACGAUGUGGGAAGGCACAGACAGCCAGGAUGUUGGCUUAGAAGCAGCCAUCAUUUAAAGAAAGCGUAAUAGCUCACUGGUCGAGUCGGCCUGCGCGGAAGAUGUAACGGGGCUAAACCAUGCACCGAAGCUGCGGCAGCGACGCUUAUGCGUUGUUGGGUAGGGGAGCGUUCUGUAAGCCGUUGAAGGUGUGCUGUGAGGCAUGCUGGAGGUAUCAGAAGUGCGAAUGCUGACAUAAGUAACGAUAAAGCGGGUGAAAAGCCCGCUCGCCGGAAGACCAAGGGUUCCUGUCCAACGUUAAUCGGGGCAGGGUGAGUCGACCCCUAAGGCGAGGCCGAAAGGCGUAGCCGAUGGGAAACAGGUUAAUAUUCCUGUACUUGGUGUUACUGCGAAGGGGGGACGGAGAAGGCUAUGUCAGCCGGGCGACGGUUGUCCCGGUUUAAGCGUGUAGGUGUGUGUUCCAGGCAAAUCCGGUUCACUUUAACACUGAGGCGUGAUGACGAGGCACUACGGUGCUGAAGUGAUAAAUGCCCUGCUUCCAGGAAAAGCCUCUAAGCAUCAGGUAACACGAAAUCGUACCCCAAACCGACACAGGUGGUCAGGUAGAGAAUACCAAGGCGCUUGAGAGAACUCGGGUGAAGGAACUAGGCAAAAUGGUGCCGUAACUUCGGGAGAAGGCACGCUGAUAUGUAGGUGAAGUCCCUGCGGACGGAGCUGAAAUCAGUCGAAGAUACCAGCUGGCUGCAACUGUUUAUUAAAAACACAGCACUGUGCAAACACGAAAGUGGACGUAUACGGUGUGACGCCUGCCCGGUGCCGGAAGGUUAAUUGAUGGGGUUAGCGGCAACGCGAAGCUCUUGAUCGAAGCCCCGGUAAACGGCGGCCGUAACUAUAACGGUCCUAAGGUAGCGAAAUUCCUUGUCGGGUAAGUUCCGACCUGCACGAAUGGCGUAAUGAUGGCCAGGCUGUCUCCACCCGAGACUCAGUGAAAUUGAACUCGCUGUGAAGAUGCAGUGUACCCGCGGCAAGACGGAAAGACCCCGUGAACCUUUACUAUAGCUUGACACUGAACACUGGUCCUUGAUGUGUAGGAUAGGUGGGAGGCUUUGAAGCGUGGACGCCAGUCUGCGUGGAGCCGUCCUUGAAAUACCACCCUUUAAUGGCUGGUGUUCUAACGUGGACCCGUGAUCCGGGUUGCGGACAGUGUCUGGUGGGUAGUUUGACUGGGGCGGUCUCCUCCCAAAGAGUAACGGAGGAGCACGAAGGUUAGCUAAUCCUGGUCGGACAUCAGGAGGUUAGUGCAAUGGCAUAAGCUAGCUUGACUGCGAGAGUGACGGCUCGAGCAGGUGCGAAAGCAGGUCAUAGUGAUCCGGUGGUUCUGAAUGGAAGGGCCAUCGCUCAACGGAUAAAAGGUACUCCGGGGAUAACAGGCUGAUACCGCCCAAGAGUUCAUAUCGACGGCGGUGUUUGGCACCUCGAUGUCGGCUCAUCACAUCCUGGGGCUGAAGUAGGUCCCAAGGGUAUGGCUGUUCGCCAUUUAAAGUGGUACGCGAGCUGGGUUUAGAACGUCGUGAGACAGUUCGGUCCCUAUCUGCCGUGGGCGCUGGAGAAUUGAGGGGGGCUGCUCCUAGUACGAGAGGACCGGAGUGGACGCAUCACUGGUGUUCGGGUUGUCAUGCCAAUGGCACUGCCCGGUAGCUAAAUGCGGAAGAGAUAAGUGCUGAAAGCAUCUAAGCACGAAACUUGCCCCGAGAUGAGUUCUCCCUGAGACUAUAAGUCUCCUGAAGGAACGUUGAAGACGACGACGUUGAUAGGCCGGGUGUGUAAGCGCAGCGAUGCGUUGAGCUAACCGGUACUAAUGAACCGUGAGGCUUAACCUU
rnacentral:rRNA from 1 species